UUUGCCUCAGCCUCCCAAGUGCUGGGAUCAUAGGCAUGCAACACUACACCCUGCGUAACCAGCUUUUUACACUUAGUGUGAUGUUGCCAAGGUUCCCCUGUGCUCUGACAUGUAUCAGUGUUUCCUUCUUCUAAAUAGCCCAUCUGCCACUCCUGUCAUCCCAGUAUUGUGAGGCUGAGGCAGGAGGAUCUAUGUGAGUUUGAGGCCAGCCUCGGGUUCGUAGCGAGUUCAAGGUCAGCCUGAACUACAGAGACUCGUCUCAGGAAAAAAGAAAAAAAGAAGCACACAAAUUUAAUUUUUUCAAAAAGAUAUAACAAGGCAGGUUUUAUUAAAGAGAAGUCCGUGGUCCUAGGUGUGGAGAUGACUAUAACAGUCCGGAGAGGAGAGCGGCUGGGCUGGACUGAGGAUGUGGGGAAGGGGCUGUUCCUGCGGAUGUACUUGUGUGCGCACGCGUGGGCUGUUCUGCGGCUGAGGUCCAGGGCUUCCCACCGAUCUACAUCCCAAACCCUUAUUUAAUUUUGUCUUUUUUUCAAGGCUGUCACCCAGGACAUCAAACCUGUGAUCCUGGGGCUGGGGAUUUAGCUCAGCGGCAUGAGCGCCUGCCUUGCAAGCAGGCAGUCGUGAGUUCGAUCCCUGGUACCGAUAAAAACGAAAAAGACAAAAAAAAAAAAAAAAAAAAAAAAAAACCUGUGAUCCUCCUACCUCAACUUCUCAAGGUGCUGAAUUUACAGGUGUGGACUAACACACGCAGAGGUAUGUUUUUCUUGGUUUUGGCCCUGAGGACUGAACCCGAGACGCUGGCACUAAGCCCUUGCUCUCCACCCCUAACCCGCGCACACACACACACACACACACUGUUUAGUUUUUUAAGUUUUGAAACAGGGUGUUGCUCAAUCUCUAAAUUGUCCAGACUGAGCUCAAAUUUAUCAUCUUCCUGCCUCAGCCUUCUAGAGCACUGGGAUUACAGGAGUGUACCACAAUGCCCAGCUAAACGUUUUUCAUUUCAUUAUUUUUUAAGGCAGGGCUCUAUGUGGUUUAUAUCUGAAAUGUCUCCCAAGCCUCGUGUUUCCCAGGGGGAGAUUUUGGGAGUGACCGCAUCACAGGUGUGCCACAGGGAAGGCUGUGGGAUAACUGGGCAGCCGCCUGAUUGGGUUAGCAGUGCUCUGGGCGUGGUUGAUGGGAUUUGCUGGGGGCAGGAGCCCCGCCCUGGGUGUGGGAAGCACCAACCAAUAGGCUUGCAGCAACCGAUAAGCUGGAUGGACUGUGGAGGGAAGGGGAGCUCCCUGCUGUGCCUUUUUCAGGUCUGCCAGGCGAAGUGCUCUUUCUCCUCUACCAGGUCUGCCAGGCUGCCUGUGGACCCCCUGACUGGACUGCAGCGCCUACACACUGAUCUUGCUAGGUAACUCAGGCUGACAUAGACUCACUAUGUAGCCUCGGAUGGUCUUCAUCUUGCAGUGAUCCUCCUGCCUCAGUCUCCCAAGUGCUGGAAUUACAGGACACAGCGACUCAUGUGUGACAUCGGCAUCCUGCAGAUGGAUUGAGGGCGUGAACGGGGCUGUCCCCCUGCUGUCUGUCACCCGCCAGCCCUGAGCCUUCUCUGCACCUCCCUUCUGAUCUGGCGAGGGGACUGGGGGUUGGGCUGACACCCAGGGUGGACGGGUGUGCACACAGUGAGUCCAUACAGAACGGCGCCCUUGUUUGUCUCAAAAAAGUCAAAUUAUUUAUUAGCGAGCAUUUGCAGUGCCUGACGAUGUCACGCGUCGUCGGUCCCUGGACAGGACACAUCCAGAGACCUUUAUGUCCCCUCCGUCCCGUCCCUGGGUUCCCUUCCCAUGCAGAAGAUCUGUGUCUCUGGCUCCCUGUGUCCACAUCUUAUCUUGCUCUUUGCGGUGUUCACACGCGGGUUCCCUCAUGAGGGAAAGUGUGACAUUCCAGCCAGGUGUCUGUCCCCUGGCCCCAUCCCAUCCGGGUGCAAGCACAUCCUGGCCUAUCCCACCCUUUCACUGCUACUCUUCCUAUGGCCUCCGGACCCCUCCUGCUGCUGCUGGCCAGCAGGCUCUGGCCCCUUCCCCCUUCCCAGGCUCCUCACUUUCUCACAGGUUUGUCUGCAAGACAGCGGAGCAAAACUGCUUUAGGUUUCCCAAAGGGACAGAGCUCUACUAGUCCCCCAGCCGCUGCCUCUGUUAGCUUCCUGUACUCAUGGCCGGCUCAACAGCCGGUCCCCUGCUGCCUGCUGCGGCCCCCAGGGCUUGGCUGCCUUAGGAGACAGGGUCUCAGAGCCGCUCUUUGCAACCCAUGCUGGUCUGAAACUCCUCAUGUGAUCCGUGCUGGCCCUGAAUCUAUGUAUGUAUCUGUCUAUUUAUCUGUUUUCUUUUGUCUGGGGAUUGAACCCAGGGUUCCUCACUGAGCUAUACACCCAGCCCUUUUAUAAAUUUUAUUUUUAUUUUUUUCCUUUUUAAAAUUUUAAAACAGUGUCUUGCUAACAUAUUAAAUUCCUCAGAGUGGGUUUAAACUUGCAGGUCUCCUGCCUCGGCCUCCCAGAAUAUUGAGAUUACAUGGAUACACCCCUAUACUCUGCUGGCCUCAAAUUUUUGAUCCCCUUAUCUCAGUCUCCCAGGAGUUCAUUCUAUUAUUUAUUCAUUUAUUUAUUGACACAGGGAACUGAACUCAGGACCUUGCACUUGCCAGGCAGGCACUUGUGCUGCUGAGCUGUAUCCCUGGCCCUCAUUACAUUUUAAAUUUAAUGAUUUAACUGAACGGAUAAUACAUACCCAUGGUUGGAAAUCCAAAAAUGCAAAGGAAAACUCAGUAAAAAACAAAAAAGCCAGGUAUGUGCAUGUAAUCUCAGCACUUGGGAGGCUGAGGAAGAAGAUCAUCAUGAGGUUAGCCUGGCCUACCUAGUCAGCCCAAGGACAGCCUGGACUACCAAGUGACACCCUGUCUCAAAAAUUUUUUUAAAAACCUUCAAACAAAAACAACAACAAAACGUCUGUAGCCAAAAGUAAAAACUUUGCAGCCAGGCAUAGUGUCACACACUUCUAAUUCCAGCUCUCUUGGGAAGCUGAGUCAGGAAGAUUACAUGUUUGAGUCCAACCUGGAAAAAUUAGCAGCUUGGUGCUAAAUUUAAUUUUUUUCCUUCUUUCUUUUUAAUAUUUGUUCUAUGUAUUUACAAGCCUUAUACUUACUCUCAAGAUUUCAAAAGUAUUAAGAGAAUUUUAUUUUAUUUCAGAAAUAAAGGAGGUGUGGGGAUGUAGCUCAGCUUUGAACCACAUGUUUAAUAUACACAAGAUCCUGGGUUCAACCUUCAGUACAGCUGGAGGUGGUGGUGCAUGCCUGUAGUCCCAGCACUCAAGAGGCUGAGGUAGGAGGAUUAUUGCAAGUUUGAAACCAGCCUGGGUUACAAAGUGAGCUCAAGGGCAAGACCAUGUCUCAAAAAGACACACACACACAUAAAAACCAUCCCACCAAAAUUAAUUCCCAGUACAAAAGAGCAAACUAGAAGAUAGAUAAAUAGGAAGCAGGAGAAACUUCAAGUCCUUGAGUUACCUACUUUACUAUUUCAAGUGUUUUAAUAUGGAUCCCAAUUCAUUUCACUUAUAUUACUAAUUUGUCUUAGUUCAUUUAAAAGACAGCUUGUGUUAUGUUUCUUUUUUGCAAGAAUCUUGUGUGUCUAUGCCUUGUACUCCAGUAACUGCUUUGACGAUAAAAGUACAGUGUAUUAACUAUUCUUUUUUUGUUUUUUUUGGUAUUAGAAAUUGAACUCAUGGGGGCUGGGGAUUUAGCUCAGCGGCAUAAGCAACUGCCUUGAAAGCAGGCAGUCGUGAGUUCAAUCCCUGGUACUGAUAAAAACGAAAAAGCAAAAAAAAAAAAAAAAAGAAAUUGAACUCAUGACCUUGUGCUUGCAAGGCAGGCGCUUAUGCCGCUGAGCUACAUCCCUGGCAUGUUUUAACUGUUUUUAUUCUCAAUAUUUUGCUUGGAAAGUUUGUUUUAUUUUCAUAUAAAAUAAAAAAGAUACCUGUAGCAUAAAAUGUUUAGCCAUUCUUCAGUCUGCAGGCACUUGUGGUCUUUGGCUGUUACAAUGUCAUUGUGAAUGUCCUCCAGUGUAUCAUCGGACACAUCAGUGAGUCUAUCCCUGGGAUAAAUUCCAAGACAGACGGGAAAUGGUGCCUCAUACCGCACAUGCAUUUAUUUGUUUUGCUUUUUUUGUUUGUUUGUUUGUAUGAGGCAUGGUCUCAAUGUAGUAGUUCAGGCUGGACCUGAACUCACUACAUACUCAGGCUGGCCUCAAACUCAUGGAGAUCCUCCUGUCUCAGCCUCUCCGGGCAUUAGAGAAGAGUGCGUUUGAGAUGCCAAACUCUCCACACACUCACUGUUUCUGCAGUGAUCACUCUGCAUCUGUCACUUGAUGCCAACACAGGGCUAUCAAACCCCCUGGGCUCUGGCCAGUCUAUUAGUGACAAAGGUAGUGCCACUGUCCUUUUGUCAUCUCUUUAUAAUUCAAGGUGAGUGCCU